AACGGCCGUACCAUGCUGAAUAUACCGGUUCUCGUUAGAUCACCGAAGUUAAGCAUCAUUGGGCGCGGUCAGUACUUGGGUGGGUGACCACCUGGGAAC
rnacentral:rRNA from 1 species